rnacentral:rRNA from 1 species
CAGUCGCCGCGGGAAUACGUAGGGUGCAAGCGUUAAUCGGGAUUACUGGGCGUAAAGCGUGCGCAGGCGGCUAUGCAAGACAGAUGUGAAAUCCCCGGGCUCAACCUGGGAACUGCAUUUGUGACUGCAUGGCUAGAGUACGGUAGAGGGGGAUGGAAUUCCGCGUGUAGCAGUGAAAUGCGUAGAUAUGCGGAGGAACACCGAUGGCGAAGGCAAUCCCCUGGACCUGUACUGACGCUCAUGCACGAAAGCGUGGGGAGCAAACAGGAUUAGAUACCCCUGUAGUCCCUGUCUCUUAUAU